AUGAGUGAUGCUUCACCCGCUGUGAGUGACAACAUGGGAGACGAACCACUCUCACUGGGAGCUGAAAAAUCUCGCAGCGGCUUCAUGAAGCAAAUAAGUCCACGCCUAAUGCACGUAAGGCCGUCAAGAACUUUGUGGGACUUGUGCUGCUUUGUGUGUUUUAUGGACAGCAGGGCUGAAAAGGAAACAAGUGCCAGCAGCUUUCAGUGGCAACACAAAACUGAGUGA
rnacentral:lncRNA from 1 species